GGGCUGAUUAAAGUCCUGUCGAAAAUCAGAUUUGAAUCUAAUUAAAGGGUCUGAAAUUUUAUUUACGACUAGGCGGAUUGGUCGAGGAGGAAGUAUUCUAGAUCAAGUUCAAGUGGAUAUCUAUAGAGGUUGGACAUAUACGUGACUCCACAGCGAACCUCAGAGAUCAUCAAUCGCAGAGAUCGUCUAUCUGCACACGGUGAUGACACCAUCUUUUAUCUCUUAUGUAUGCUCAUUUUUAUUAUUUAAUAUGCUG
rnacentral:lncRNA from 1 species